GGCGCAGCAAUUAAACGGGCGCACCCUCAUUCAUUCAGAAAAUUAAAAACUCCUGUGGGAAAAGUCUGUGUCUUGGCAAAACAAAUAGACACAGACACUAGAAGCAAGACUCAGAAAGACGUUUAUUUGCCUUUUCUGUUUGCAAUUAAAAAUGUGCUUUUUUCGACGUGACGUGCAGUGACCCGUCAAUCAACUGGGGUGGAGUCAAGGCUGGCUUGACCACAGUCACCCGAGGCAUCCAAUCAGGUUCCAGAGUUGAGCAGCGCUACCCCGGCCACCCCUCUAGCUCCGCCCCUGGGUAGAAGCAGAAGAAGGCAGCGACGACGACCUCUAUCCAGACCAUUCAACAUCACAGGUCUUCCUCAGGGAAACUGCCCGACUGCACAGGGGUCAGCCUAUUGAUGGCAAGAGGAGACUACACUCAACUGUCUUUCUCAGGGACAUUAUCCUACCACCCUGGGGUCAGCCUAUUGAUGGCCAGAGGAGACUACGUUCAACACGUGACACUGGAAUCAACCUUUCUGGACCGUCUCCACAAACAGAUAAUGAAUCUCAGAGUCCCAGUGCAGGGAAGGCAACUCAUCAGAAGGUGUCUACCACAGUAGUGAAGACUGCUUCAGCUGAGUCCAGUGGCAGUUCAUCUUUCUCUGUGGACAACAUCAGAACAGCUGUAUAUAAGACAUUGGCUGCCAGCUGUGCUGCAAUUUUAAUUUUAAUUUAAUAAAAAAACAUUUAAGCAGACUAAUCUGACCAAUUUGAUACAACAACACAAGUCAGAAUAAAGCUGAAAUAAAUUUUCAUUUAAAAGCCAGCUUUCAACUAAUGGCAAACAAAUCAAAUCAAACGUCUGGUAGCUAAUAAUGGUCAGGUAAAAAUAAUGAAGGAGGGCUCAACAUGGUACAUUUUACAAUUAGUUAUGAUAAUUUACUUUUCCACAAAACUAAUUCCAUCAGAACAGAAAGUUACUAGCAGGAUCCCAGUUUUAAGCCAUUCGCGCCAACUUUCCCAUAAAUUAUGUUAAGAGACUUUAGAGAUAGAUGAAGUUUAGACUGAGGCAGGGUCAAGAAGAGGGGCAGAGAAAGAGAGAAAAAUGGCACUUGACGUGGUGCUAAUAAUCUGAUAACUGAAUGACUAUUGAGCCGUUUUGUAUUCAAAUAUUGAUCGAUUACCAAAUAAUAAUCGCUCUGUAUCAUGUAUGUAUGUAGGAUGAAAAUCAGUACUCUGAUUAACAUUUAUGUUUUACAAAAAUGAGAAUGGAAUAUUAUUCAGUUAAUUUAUUAGUUUUCUGGGCAUGUCUGAAAAAGGACAACAAGGUCACAAAGGUUUUCUUAGACACCAAAAUAUUACACAGUUUUAAUUUCAAAAGAUUGAGGCACAUUUGGACUUUUUUUUACUGCCUGAAAUGCAUCCAUUUAAUGCGUUUUUGGAACAUUUCUGGUCUUUUCUAUGACUUGCCUGGAAACUGCAUCAAUUUCUUUAAUGUUUUUACAUUCACAAAUUCAGUGAUUGAUUUUGAAUUUUAGAAGUAGCCUAUUUAGUGAAUUGUUAUGUGUUAAAAAUCUGUCUAGCAUGCAUUAACAAGUGAUUUUAUGUAUUUUUACAUUGCAUUUAAUCAAUAUCUGAAUGUGGUUGUAGAACACUUUAUCCACAUUUAUAUGAUCUUUUAGAUUUUGUUUUUACUUUUAAUCAUUUUUGAGCAUUGUUUUUGAAUGUUUAUAUUCACAUUGAA